UAGCUCAGUUGGUAGAGCGUAAGAUUCUUAAUCUUGUGGUUGUGGGUUCGAGCCCCAC
rnacentral:tRNA from 1 species